rnacentral:rRNA from 1 species
CAGUCGCCGCGGUAAUACGUAGGGUGCAAGCGUUAAUCGGAAUUACUGGGCGUAAAGCGUGCGCAGGCGGUUUGUUAAGACAGAUGUGAAAUCCCCGGGCUCAACCUGGGAACUGCAUUUGUGACUGGCGAGCUAGAGUAUGGCAGAGGGGGGUAGAAUUCCACGUGUAGCAGUGAAAUGCGUAGAGAUGUGGAGGAAUACCGAUGGCGAAGGCAGCCCCCUGGGCCAAUACUGACGCUCAUGCACGAAAGCGUGGGGAGCAAACAGGAUUAGAUACCCCGGUAGUCCCUGUCUCUUAUAC